ensembl:lncRNA
UGAUGUAAAAGUGUGCGAUGAGAAUCCUGAGAUAAGAGGACUUGUAGAUCACUGACUGCACAGAGAACAGGGCUUGACCUCUGAUUCACAAGCUGUUGUCAUGGACCAUUUUUCCAAACAUCUCAGCAUCAUCUGGACAGCACAGAAGAUAUCUCACCUCCUUUGCCGCUCAAUAGACCAGGGAGCCACUGGGCCUAUUUGGCUGAGCCCUGCUCUUGGAGAAAGAGGCAACUUCCAUUUUGCUGCUUUUGGGUCUGAUUUUUGAGUCCCAACUGGAAAAUCACAACUGUGGAAUCAUUCAGGUUGGAAAAGUCCUCUAAGAUCCCCCAAGUCCAACCCCAGCCCACCCUCACCAUGCCCACAGACCACAUCCCUCAGUGCCUCUCCAUGGUUCUGGAACAUCUCAAGCGACGGUGACCCCACCACCUCCCUGGGCAGCCUGUUCCAAUGCAUCACCACUCUUUCUGAGAAGAAGUGCUUCCUAAUAUCCAGCCUGAACCCCUUCCCUGGCACAACUUAAGGCUGCCAGCUCUUGUCCUGUCACUGUUACCUCGGAGAAGAGUCUGACCCCUGCCUCACUACAACCUCCUCAAUAAGAAGUGCAGUCAAUUAAAGUGGUUCCGUGUCCUCCGUAUCACCAGGCUUGGCAAGAUACUGAAGCUUUACUGGAAACUCCACUGAAGCCAACUUUAAGUUCUCCAUCUCCUGAAUGUACCACUGCAAAUACUGCAGCUGCUGAAGCAGGCAGAACAGAGCUACAGCUCCCUGUCUGUCUCCUGGCUCUGCAUCUCUGCAUGGUAAAAAUAGCCAUAUUUUACAUCCAUGGGAAGCAUUAAGGAUAUUAUCUCUUUGGAGUUCCUUUCAGCCAAGAGUAAGGAGAUAUGAAGAAUUUGGCUGCUGUCCUCUGCUCCUGCACCACCCAGCUACCCGUCAUGGCUAAUAAUGCAACUCAGUGGCUGCUGUAUUUUUCAUGGCCCUUCUGACAGUAUGAGAUUAGUGGGAGCACAGCUGCUUCAGUACCAGGGCAUGUAUCUGUCUUUCCCUGGCAGAUCCCUUGGUGGUGUGUGGCUGUCAUGUUAAAGAGGGAAGGUAAAACUUAUUUACAGGCAGUCUGAGCGGCAUGUUAUUCAAGGCCAGGUUGCUGGCCCAUCUGAUAUUAUUUAAGGGGUUAGAUAUUGCCAGUAAAUGAAAAUAAAUGCUAUUAGUGUCCCUUCUAGUCAGUGGAAUUAGCUGCUCUUCAGCUGAUGUUUGGUUUUACAGCACAAGAUACGCUGGCUCUCAAGGGUCAUGGCUUUUAAAUGCUGGGAAGGCACUAAUCUUGGGAUCAUGGUGAUGCAAACAGAAAUAGGAGGCUAGCAAAACCAGCAGAGGGCUUCCCUUCUGUUGCUUACCCUCAGUCUCUCUGUUAAAUGGACCUGCAGAAAUCAGGGGCAAAGAGACAGAGUGCAGCACUGUUAACUCUAAGGGUUCCUCUUUUACCACAGUAGAGCCUUGGAAGGGCCCUUCUUUCCUCCUCAUCUCGGCCAGUCUCAGAAGGAUUGUCUUUGCUAAAAAGAAAUUACAUUCUGUUGCCUGUCUGUCUUGAGCCAUUUGCUUUUGGCGUUAACUGUCAAGCCCUGAAUCACUCUCUGGGGAUGCGUGCUGGAAAGCUGGUGGGAACUGAUUGCAUAUCAGCAGCUGAGAUGCAAUACUUGGCUUUGCUCUUCUUGGGAAUCACAGUGUGCAGACCUGGACAGCAUCACGCACAUAGCGUAAGAGACCAAGCACUUCUCGUGGGCUGAGUGCAUCAAAUCCUGAGACAAACGCUUACUGCAAACACUGGGGCAUGAGGGAGGUGGGAGGGAGAGAGAUCAACUCCUAAAGCUUUGGCUUCUUGCUCAGAGCAGGGAAAGGAAUAUAAAAAGAAUGAAUGUAAUUUGUUUUCCUUUGUUGAUCAGAGCUGAAAUUAGCUAUGGGGUAUUGAACAUUGAAGUAGAAGAGGGAGAUGGAAAACUAGAAGAGCAGCUGCUUGAAAAUUGCACCAAAGGCCUCUUCCCAAAGAGAAAUAUGCAGGACUUCUUUGGUUUAAGGUCACUCAUCAGCAAGACCCCCAGCUGGGAUGAAGAAACGAGAGGCCAAGGCUUCUGGCAUCCUGCUGCAAUGUGACAUAAAGAGGAGAUGCCACAAGCAGGAAAUCCUCGUCUCAGAGGAAGGAGCUGGUUUUACUGAGGCAGGUGCCCCUAGGAGCUUGAAGGGCUACUGGAAGCAAGCGAAGGCUACCCUGCCUCAAGGAGAUGAAGGCUCAUGGUGAAAUGUGAUGUUCUAUGGUCUGGAAGCAGUCAGUAAGAGCUUCACCUCCUCUAUCAGCACUUUGGAGACACGGCUGAAGGAUUGGACAAUACCUAUCCGGGAGGUAACAUCUCCAGUGGAAAAGAGGACAGGGCUUUAAAACACCUACAGCUGGCUUCCACACCCCCCUGACCUGCAUUUCAGGUCGGCACCACCAAGAUGCCUGUGUGCCUUGGCUGAUGAGGAUAACUACACGCAAGGCAAGCUAUCUGAACCUGACAGCAAAGACCACGUUUCCCCUUAAUGCACCGUGCUGUGGGAAGUGUUUACUGCUGCUGCUCUUACAGAGCAGAAAACCAGAGCAGCUGGGAUGCAGCAAGCUCACAAUGAGGAAAAGCAGAAAGAAGAAUGACCCCGCGCCACUGUUACAAGCAGCUUCCUGAAAGCAGCUUGCGGCCAGGAAAACUGCUGGAUGAAAUCCCUCAGAGGAGGAGAAAGUCCAGGCUCUCCAGAUUUGUUGUCAUUCCUGAGGGAUGUGACCAAGGACAAGUCUUGGAUUGCUGCGUCUCCCUUGGCAUAGGGGUCGAUGACUCCACCACCUCCCUGCGACAGAGGGACAAAAGGAGAAGGAUGGACAAAUGCCUACCCAACACCUGCGCUCCAGAAGGCAGCUCAGGAAGAGGAUGGAAAAUAGGACAAACCUUGUGCAAGAACACCUGUAUUAGGAUUGAGUUUGCAAGUAAAGUAAAAUAGCAAACGCAGAGCUUAGAGAAGUGUUUUGUUUCUUCCUGGAAACACAAGCAGAGGGGGGGAAGGCCAGCGACAUUCCG